rnacentral:rRNA from 1 species
GGAAUAUUGGACAAUGGGCGCAAGCCUGAUCCAGCAAUGCCGCGUGGGUGAUGAAGGCCUUAGGGUUGUAAAGCUCUUUUACCAGGGAUGAUAAUGACAGUACCUGGAGAAUAAGCUCCGGCUAACUCCGUGCCAGCAGCCGCGGUAAUACGGAGGGAGCUAGCGUUGUUCGGAAUUACUGGGCGUAAAGCGCACGUAGGCGGCUUUUCAAGUCAGGGGUGAAAUCCCGGGGCUCAACCCCGGAACUGCCCUUGAAACUGGAGAGCUAGAAUCUUGGAGAGGCGAGUGGAAUUCCGAGUGUAGAGGUGAAAUUCGUAGAUAUUCGGAAGAACACCAGUGGCGAAGGCGGCUCACUGGACUGGUAUUGACGCUGAGGUGCGAAAGCGUGGGGAGCAA